rnacentral:rRNA from 1 species
CGCAACCCUUGUCGUUAGUUACCAUCAAGGUAAAAGUUGGGGACGUCUAGCGAGACUGCCACCGUAAGGUGUGAGGAAGGGGGGGAGUGACGUCAAAUCAGCACGGCCCUUACGUCCGGGGCGACACACGUGUUACAAUGGUAGGUACAGAGGGGCGCUAUCCAGUGAUGGAGUGCGAAUCUCAAAAACCUAUCUCAGUUCGGAUUGGAGUCUGCAACUCGACUCCAUGAAGUUGGAUUCGCUAGUAAUCGCGCAUCAGCCAUGGCGCGGUGAAUACGUUCCCGGGCCUU